rnacentral:tRNA from 1 species
AGCGGUGUGGCUUAGUGGAAAGAGCAUGGGCUUGGGAGUCAGAGGACUUGGGUUCUAAUCCCGCCUCCACCA